rnacentral:lncRNA from 1 species
GGAUGGUUGGGUCACCGGACACAUUUUUUAAACUAAAUACCCCAAUGAUGAUUGUGGCCAUGUUUGGACUAAUUUAACCCAGUAGUUUCAGAGGAGAAGAUUUUUUGUAAAAGACUACUAAGAUUUACGAAAAAUGGUUAAAAAUUGGCGAUAAAGGGCAAUAACUCCUAAAUGGGUCAACUGACCAUUUCGGUCAUGUUGACUUAUUUGUAAAUCUUACUUUGCUGAACAUUAUUGCUGUUUACAGUUUAUCUCUAUCUAUAAUAAUAUUCAAGAUAAU